GGGCUAUUGACGUACGACGGGGAGAUGUUCUGGCUGCAAAGUGUUUAUAUAUCAACAAGGAUAAUAAGCCAGUUCGUUUCGGGCAAGAUGAUGGUCAAGAGAUGUGUAAUGCUGAUAUCCA